AUCCAGCUGACGAGUCCCAAAUAGGACGAAACGUGCAU
rfam:Schistosoma margrebowiei strain Zambia genome assembly, scaffold: SMRZ_contig0003198